GCAUCGAUGGUUCAGUGGUAAAAUGCUUGCCUGCCACGCAGGCGUCCCGGGUUCGAUUCCCGGCCGAUGCA
rnacentral:tRNA from 1 species